CGGGGCAGCACAGAGAGAGGAAAACAUCAUUUGUGAGAGACCGUCGAUCCUUGGCCAGAGCUGCUGCAACGAAAGAAGCUGCUAGAAUCAAAGCAGGCUGUGGUGUAAAGAGUCUGCUUCCACAAUGGAGGAAAUCAGUAUCGAAGAUGCAUUUGUGGAUCUUUACUGUGAAGAGGAAGAAGACCCUGCAUGGACAUGUGAUGACUGUGAGGCGAAAUAUUAUGAAACUGGAACAGACGGUAAAGCUCUUUGUCGCCAUGUGAAGACAACAGUGUAUAACAUUAACCACGAGUUAGUGUUUCGGCCUCAGGAGACUCCUGUUGGAGUAGUGGAGAGCUACAUCAUGAUCAGCUGCACGAGAGAUGAAACUUUACAAGAGACAACAGAAACAAACAACUCAGCGGAAAUCAGCAAUCUUCCAAACAAGAACAGCUUUGAAGGAGAAACAAAAAAACAAAGUAAGCAUUACACCACUUUAGCAGCUGAGCUGAAUGAAAAACAAAGAUUAUCCAUCCAUCCAUUUUCUGAAACGU